UACGGAGGGUGCGAGCGUUGUUCGGAAUUACUGGGCGUAAAGCGUGCGCAGGCGGUUUUGUAAGUUUGUCGUGAAAGCCCCGGGCUCAACCUGGGAAUUGCGAUGAAGACUGCAAGGCUAGAAUCUGGCAGAGGGGGGUAGAAUUCCACGUGUAGCAGUGAAAUGCGUAGAGAUGUGGAGGAACACCGAUGGCGAAGGCAGCCCCCUGGGUCAAGAUUGGACGCUCAUGCA
rnacentral:rRNA from 1 species